AUUGAACGCUGGCGGAAUGCUUUACACAUGCAAGUCGAACGGCAGCACGGGGGCAACCCUGGUGGCGAGUGGCGAACGGGUGAGUAACACAUCGGAACGUGCCCAGUCGUGGGGGAUAACGUAGCGAAAGCUACGCUAAUACCGCAUACGAACUCUGGUUGAAAGCGGGGGACUCGCAAGGGCCUCGCGCGAUUGGAGCGGCCGAUGGCAGAUUAGGUAGUUGGUGGGGUAAAGGCCUACCAAGCCGACGAUCUGUAGCUGGUCUGAGAGGACGACCAGCCACACUGGGACUGAGACACGGCCCAGACUCCUACGGGAGGCAGCAGUGGGGAAUUUUGGACAAUGGGCGCAAGCCUGAUCCAGCCAUUCCGCGUGCAGGAUGAAGGCCCUCGGGUUGUAAACUGCUUUUGUACGGAACGAAAAGGCCUCUUCUAAUACAGGGGCUCAUGACGGUACCGUAAGAAUAAGCACCGG
rnacentral:rRNA from 1 species